rnacentral:rRNA from 1 species
UUGUACACACCGCCCGUCACACCAUGGGAGUGGGGGAUACCAUAAGUAGGUAGGGUAACCGCAAGGAGCCCGCUUACCACGGUAUGCUUCAUGACUGGGGUGAAGUCGUAACAAGGUAGCCGUAGGGGAACCUGCGGCUGGAUCACCUCCUUUCU